CACACUGGAGGCAGGAGAUUUGAAUGGUGUUUCUUUCUUUUCUCCCUUUCAGAGUGUUUUAGAGCUCUAUAAAUUCUGUUAAUUUGUCAUCUGGCUUAACAUUACCAAACAAAAGCAGAAAAAUAUUUUUAUAUACCUGUCUCAAAAAAUACUUUCCAACAGAGAUGCAUUCUUGCUUGCUAAAUCGCUUCAGUUGUGUUGGACUCUUUGCAACCCCAUGGACUGUAGCCCACCAAGCUCUCUGUCUAUGGGAUUCUCCAGGCAAGAACACCGGAGUGGGUUGCCAGCCCUCCUCCAGAGGAUCUUCCUGACCCAGGAUUGAACUCGCAUCUCCUACAUCUCCUGCAUUGUCAGGCAGAUUCUUUACCACCAGCGCUACAUGGGAAGCCUUCAAGCAGAGAUAACAGCAAAGUUGUCCAAGUUUUCUAGUGCAGAGGCUGCGACUAAGAUGGCUGGUUUGAUUCCAAAACAGCAACGAAAUCUCUCAACAAGCACCAUCUCUCCCAGCAGGAGCAGCAGGCAGAGCCAGAGAAGAAAGGGAAUUCAACCCCUGAGAGAUGUUAAAAUGAAGGAGAAGAAAGGCUGUUGGUGUUUGUUAAAGAAAAUGGUGUCAGUGUCUCGGGCUGAUCAAGGUGUAGAAUCUGAGGCCCUGACAGAUGCCCAGGCCUACAUUUGACAGGAAGUCUUUUUCCAGGUCAGAUCUGCUUGAUGGUCUCAACUAAUGAAUGACUCCAGCUUGCAAGCUUUUGCAUUGGAACUACACCUUGCUUUCAUGGUUUGGUCAUACUGGUCUGCCCUCCCUCUCACCUCCCGUCUUUCCUAUCCUUUGCAAAACUGCAUUUUGCAUCCUCCUUUUUCAGCUCCAUUUUAUAAAAUAUCA
ensembl:lncRNA